CAUUUUCUCUUACAUUCAAGACCAGGCUGAAAGUCAGCUGCCUCCCCACAAGGCGUAUUACACAAGGAAGCAAGAAGAUUCCAGAAUGGGGAGACUGUCUCGUUAAAUUCCUUUAACUUUGCUGAAUUUGGAGCUGGUCAGUGUCUCGGUUUUCCUCCUCCUGGUGGUGUCAAGCAUUGUCUGUCUACCUGGCCUCACUUCAGAUGCUCGUGUUCUUAAAAUCCUGUUUGCUAUUGAAUCAUCGCUUGCCAAGAUCUGCCCUACGCUGUGUGAGCACUACCAUGGAUCAAAGGGAAGAUCCUCAAGCUUUUGUUUCCAAGACAUUUGCUGCCCUUAAAGGUUGCAUUUUGUUUCUGACAAAAAUACAGCCAAGUGUAAUAAUCCAGAAAGACCCUUUGGUAAACUUCAUCCAGCAACAAAUGUGGCUGAUCUCAAAGGUGAGGGAAUGGUGGCAGAUGCCUGAGGCUCUUCUCCUGGGGUCUAAAUAUCCCAGUGUGGUGUCACAGGAAGGAGCCAGGGUCCAGCUGUGUGUCCAGUCCUCCCCAGAUCACCGUCCUGUCCUCUACAUUUCCUGUGUCACCUCAGCACUCACUGGGACAGAGCCCCACGCAGUAUGAUAUUCAUUUCCUGGAUUUAGCUGAGCAGUGAGUGUGUAAGAGAUACAUGCGACUUCUGGGCGCCUGCUCACAUUGUGGGGUUUCUUUCUCCAUCUCAGGCAGUGAGUUCCUCUUCUUACAAAAUCAGUCAAAACUAUUUUCCCACUUAGUGUCAGAAUUAAUAAAACAAAAUUAACCAGGGCUCUUAUUCAGUAACUCAGGAUACGUAAUAACCAUUUCGCUGUUUGGUUUUAACAACAGUAGUAAUGGUAAAUGGUAUGACUUCUUUUUUUAGCAAAGAUAAACUUCCUACAUCCUGCUGAGAAUAUGUUUGAAAGUUGGUUAGAAAGAGAAAAGAGAGAAGAAAGUAGACAAUCACUGAAAAUGGACAAUACCCAUGAAAGUCAGUAGAUGCACCUAACAGCAAGCUGGGAGCAGAAAUAACAAUAACAGUAGUAAUAACGGCAGAUCAGAAGCGGAUAGUACCGAGCUUCCCUCCCUUUGCCACCUUGCAGGAAAUCCUGUCUGGCUGCAAGAACAAAACAUGGAAAUGAAUCAGUCGAUAAAGGAUUUUCUCCCAUUAAAGAUGUUGGUGAUUUUGUCCGGUCCAGGGGAAGUUGAACAUUAAGAUGGACGUUCCCAGUCUCUAGAGACCACAGUCACUCGCCCUCCUCGCCAUGGGAUGCAAAGGAAUGCUGGGUGAAAGACAGAGCAUGCGUCCUGAGAGGCUCCUGGUGAAAUAAUAAAACCCAAUUCUCAUCUAGAAAAAAGAAUCAUUAUAGGAGGAUGGUAAUUUACUUUAUAUGACCUUCAAUUGAUUAUUCUGUGGCUGCUACACAAAUAUCACAGGAGCUAUUGAUCGUAAAACCUACCAAAUAGAUCUCUAAUAGCUUUUACUGGGCAAAAAUAAUUAUGCUUGCACUGUGGUCAAACACACAUAAGCCAAUGUGGAGGUAUUAAUGUAUGGUAUUAUUACCCAUCUGUCUGCGAGGGAUGCAGGACUCUUCACGGGAACACACUAUGUCUCAGCCCCAUGAAGGCUCAAUAUCCAAGCCAACAAUUACAGCCAGUUACACUGAAAAAUUGAUUACUGUAACUAAAAGCUAGGGCUGGAAAGCAGAGGCUGCAGCUUGCUUAAUAAAAGUAAAAUAAUAACGAGAGAAGCCCUAAUUGAGAAGGAAUCCGGCAGCAGCGGCUGCGAUGACUCAGAAAUUGAAUUUCCCUGCAGUGUCGGCAGCAGAGGAACUUUUCAGAGUCAAGCGCUUCCCAUCCAGCCCAGAUGGAGAUCAAUGAUCAACACCCGUAAAAGGUCAGGAUGUCUGAUCAAAGGACAGAUCAUCCAUCUCUCAAGGAAAAGUGUACAGCAUGAGCCAGAAACACGGUGUUGCUGGCCACGCAGAGUGAGGAAACCGAGGGAGAGAGCAACCCCGGUUCCGCUUUGGCGAGCAGCAAGAGUACGCUGCGCUGCUAUGAAAUGUGUGCGGUGCUUCUGCCUUCAUCCACGGCCACUCAGGUGCACCCGAAGUGGGUGGAUGAAAGCCACCUGCUGAAGGGAGAAUGUCUCCACCACGGUGGGUGCCUCCGUUCACUCUCAGAAGAACAUUUAGACUUCAAAGUUCCCCAGCAAGUCUACCAAAUAAUAAUACAAAGAGAAAUCCAUCAAUAGCAAAAAGAAUAAUUUAAAAAAAGACAAAUUGCUAUCAAAGUGCUUAAAAGAGGAAUGGUGAAUUUUUAUGAGUCAGAAAACAGAUGAGGAUGAGUGAGUCACAGAAGAGAAGAGAGAAUUUGCUUACCAACGUGGGAUCCCUGUCUACGAGUGAGGGGGAAGGAGAGAGGGUGUAUGUGGGGGUCGUAAUCAUAGCUCAUGCCACACAUAAGACAAAUAUCCCAUGAAUCCCGUUCACGUAUCCCAUGAAACAGAACAAAAUUGGAAUGUGCAGCUGGAGGGCUGUACAUUCCAGUGCCUGGAAAGGUUUUCCAAAGUCCUGAGGUCCAGGCCACACCCCGGGCGAUGGAGUCGGAGAAGUGGUCUAGCCUCAGUGUCCCUUUCAGAAGCACCGGGUGGGUCUCUGAGGAAGUUCGGUCCCACAGCCACCAAGUCAGAGGAGCACCUUCUCAGCCAUGGGAGGUCCUAACCCCGCAGGGACCUUGAACUUCCCACGGCCUCCCUCCCCCUGCGGCUGUAGGAACACAGCUCACUUGUUUGUUUCUCUUCUCUUAAGCUUUAUCAGUUCCAGUUGUAAAGGCAGGAAAGCCUUUUUCAUGAUUUAUGAUUCAGAAGCAAAGCAGGGACUGGGGGGUGGUGGAGGAGUGGGUGAAGGUUGCUGCUGCGGUUUCUCUUGUUAUUAAUAUUAUUAUUUUAAAAGAAAUAGGCUUUAAGCUGCUCGCAGGUCUGUUUUCCAAGGUCUGGUUCCACCAUAAUCAACAUCUACGCAGACACAGCAUAUAGGGGGUUUAUGCUUGUCCUCAGUUGUCCUCAAAUUACAUGAUAAAGUGGAUGUUUUGAAUCCUUUAGGCCACAGGGAGUUACGGGGCCCAGCUACAAAAUCCAUAACAUGUUGUCAGGACUUACGGUUGCUGCCCUUGGAGCAGCUGCAGAACACAGCGCUUGCUACCCCUAGCGCCGCCAAGCAAGGGUUGCGCUGCAGAUGGUUUGCCUGUUUGUAAAGCGAAGGUGUGCUUGUGAUCUGGGGGUCCCUUGCCAUUUUUGAAUUGUUGCACUCUGUCUUUCCGGCCCUUGAGUUCCACCACAGGUUUUCAUUUGGGGUCGUUCUCAUAGCCAGAGGAGACGGUGUAAUCGUCAGCCGUGUGUUAAUAUCUAGGUCUUGGGGGCGGGAUGGUUGGCUGAAGCAUGCAAGGACCUGUUCUGCAGACUCCACCAGAGGCACCGCGUGCUGUCCCUUCAAAGUGUCCCCAGUUAUUCUUCCCCGCCAAAGGCUUCACAUAUUGCAGUUCACGCAAAAAUGUUGAUGGGAAUGAGAACGUAAUACGCCAUCAAAUACUGAAUUUCAUGCUGAAACAAAAGCUACCAUGAAGCCUUCGGGCACACGUCUAUAUUUUUAGUACUUUGACUGUGUGCCUUUAGAAAGCAAUAAAGGAACACUGUUUUAGGAAUUGUUUAUUGGCUUUCACUAAAGAAGCGGAUUUCCCUCUUCCUUUCGAACCCAGCCCCCAACGGUGCCUGUGUCCUGGUUUUCUGAAGUAGUGGCGCCUACUGAGGAGAAGCUGAACUCCGGUGGUCUGCCUGGCCCUCACGGCUCACUAAUCAGCCCCUGGUGCUGGAGGAAGUCAUAAGGAGAUGGAUGGGCUGAAUCUGAACCUUAAGGUGUGCCUGUUUCAGCAACACAUCUUCAGGCUAGGUUUAUUCUUAUAAUGCACAUAGAGGGAGAUUUGGGUCACAUUUUAUUAAAUCCUUCCUUCUUUCUUAAUUUUAAAAUAAAAUGUACUGUUAUCUCUGAAAAGGAGGAAUGAGGCUGCUUGCUUAAUUGCCACUAUGAAUGCACAGAUGAUAUCUUCAAGAACUUUAUGAAAAAUGUGUAUUAUGAAAAAAAAUCCACACAUGAUUUCAAAACUAUUUUUCAUGGAAACAAACAUUUUUUUAACUCAAUUUUUUCACAAACUUUUGAAAUUCCAUCAUAUAUUGGAUGAUUUUAAUCUGAUUUUUAGUCACUACAAGACUAACACCAACGCAAAGAUAUAAAGGGUCAUCGCACUAACAUGUGGCUUAGUCAGUUUGAAGGGACAACCCAGGUAUGGAACUUUGCCAUCCACCACAGAUCUGCUCAAGCCCCCUACUUCCCAAGAGAAACCAAGCAUUUCACUGCAUUGUAUUCACUUAAAAAGUAAAGUUGAAGAGUUUAGUCCUUCAAGCUUUCCGGUCCAGAUACUUGAAAGUGAGCACCUCACCCAUGGGUACAGUGACAGGACCUGGAGGAGCAGGUGGAGUGUCCCCUGAGGUGCUAGAGAGGCCCCUACACUGUGGAAGGGACAAGGGAUUGCAGGAGAAGCUGCCCCAGUCAGAGGCCAGGGUGGGCUCCAGUACUCUGCAGCCUCUCAUGUUUGAGGAGAAGAGUUCAGUGUUAGAAUAUCCUUGUUAUUUAUUAAGUAAUGGUGAUAGUAAAAAUUGUAAGACUUUAAGUAGCCUUCUUUCAAAAAUAAGAAUGUCAGCAAUGCAUUGUAUUUUAAUAGCUAAUUUUUUUCUUCUUUGUUGUUACUGAUGUAUUACACCUGCAAAUUUGAGAUGGACUCCACAGAGGACAAUAAUUAGUUCACAGAAGGGUGACUUAUGCUUAGCUGUUCAUAUGCCCACUGGGAUGCCCACAUACUGAGUGAGGAUGCCCGGCUUUGAGUUACAUCUCCACUCUCACUUCCAGUUUCUUGCUAAUGUGUAGCUGGGAGGCAGUGGGAUGGUUCAGGUAACUGGUUCACUACUACCCUUGUGGGAAACUUGGACUGAGUGCCCAGCUAUGAGCUUUAGCCAUUGUGGGCAUUUGACAACAGAACCAGUGUGUGUGGGCUCUCUGUGUUUCUAUAAAUAAAUAAAUAUAGUUUUUCAAAUAAUGAAAAUGUCUUAUUUUAAAUUAUUCAUGAAUCUCAAAAUUUUCUUCGAGAUUGGUAGCAAUUCUUCACAUAUUCAGGACACAUGGUAGCACUUGGGCAAUAUAUGUUACAUUCUUCCAAAUUGUCCCUUGCUCUUUGUUCUAUGCCUUCUAUUAUCUGGAACUAUGAAAUCUUCAUCAUCAGUGAUGAUAUGAUCAUCUCCUAAGGUUUCUGGUCGCCAACAUUUCAAGAUUAUAAAAUGUUGUCCAAAAUUGUAUUAUAGUAUUUUUAUGGCUUAAAUAUUUGUACCUCUAUAUACCUACCAUACUUUUCUGUGAAGCAGAAGUUUAACAUUUUUUUUAAAAAAGGAUUAAUAAAUAUUUCAAUUAAAAAAUUA